GACUCGGCGCGGCUGCCUCCUCGGGGCAGAGUCCCGGGCCGGGCGGCGGCGCGCGGACAAAGCGCUCUCUCUGCCUCCCUCUCUCUCCCUCUCAAGGCGGUGGCGGGAGGAGGAGCAGCGGCGGGCGGCGGCAGCGCACCCCGCGUGUGUCUGUGUGAGAGUUUGUACGGGCGUGUGCGCAGCCGAGAGGGAGCGAGCGAGCGCCCCCUCCCCGCCCCGCGCCGCUGCGCCCCUCGCCUCGCGCCCACCGCGCUCGGCAGUGGCUGCUCGGGCUCCGGCCCCGCGCCAGGCGGGCGGAAGCGGGUCGCGGCCCCGGGCUGGGGCUCCGGGCGCCGGAACCCCGGGCGGGCGCGGCGCCGAGGCCGGGCGAGCGGCGGGGCGGGGAAGGCGCGCCCCGGGCGCGGGUGGGAGCGCGCGAGGGGGCGACGGGGAGCCGCGGGCGUGGGAGGGAGAGGGGCUGCGAGUGAGCGCGGAGAGGGGUGUGCGCAAGGUGGACCGGAUGUGAGUGCGCUGCUGCCAGGGCAAGCGGGAAGGUGUGUCCCGGAGGUGAGAGGCGAGGGCAGGCUGGGAGACAACAACUUUCGCAGCGACUUGGCCGGGGCUGGCGCCCUGCGCGUUCCCGGGCCGUGCGCUCGCUCUGAGACCCGCUCCCCGCCACGCUCUCUGAGGUGACCGAGCGGCGCGUGUGGUCGAAGGAUCGCGCGCGGGAGUCGGGACGCCUAGGACCGGGGUUGGCCGGGCCCUCGCGGACCGUGCUCGCGGGGAAGUGGUUCCCGGUCCCGGGCCUCAGUUUCCCGACCGGGGAGGGAAGGCGGAAGGCCAGCGCGGAGUCACGUCCUCUCCGCCCAGACCCCGCGUGUCCGGAACCCCGCGGCAGGCGGCAGCCUGACGUUGGCAGCUGCUCUCUAUUCUGGGAAGUGCCGAGGGCUUCCCGGGCGGCGGCGGCGAAAGCCAGGUGGCGGGUGGGGAAACGAACGCCGAGGGGCCAGGGACUGCGGCGAGGCCGGAGCGCUGGGGUCAGCGGCCGGGGGACGGAUGGUCGCCGCCCGGCUGCGCGGCCGGUUCAGCUCCAAAGCCAGGGUGGUGGGAGGCGAGGGUGGCUGGAAGCGGAGGAGCGCAGGCUGUGUAGGAGUUCCCCGAGCACUGGGAAGGGCCCGGAGAGGAAAGAGGUCCUUCCAAGCGGAGGAAACAACGUGACCGACGGAAGAGGCAGGGUUGGGAUGAGAGCAGGCUGGAGCCGAGGGGCUCGGGCAGGAGCCAGACAGGCUAGAGCGGGCUGCAAGUUCCGGGGCCCGGCUGGAAGCCUGAUGGUUAGAGCCUGGUCCCAGCCAGGAAAUGAAAUUCUACAGGAGGGAGAAGAAUGGCGGGAUUCAGAGGUGAGGAGGCAGAAGAAGAUUCCAAGCUCUGGACCUCUGGGGGCCACUGGGAGAGUUGAAGGAAUUCAUGAACUUUUAAAAUACUUUAUUCUACAGAAGGAGAUCUUCUUAACUAAUUAGAAAAAGAAUCGGAUUUUACUGCUCCAGGAGUUGAGAAUGAACUUGGUUACUAAUCCCCAAAGUAAUAGAUAAACUAGGUGUGGAUGCUUCUUUACUAAAUUGUAUCAGAGAAUCACAAAUGAACAUGACUUGUGCAUGCAUAAACCUCAGCAGACUGAACUAACCAUCUUUAGAUUAUUUACACAUGUGCUCCUAAUUGAUAUGGUCACCUUUAUAUUAUAGGACAGCAUAUUUGCUUAUUAUUCACAGGUACAUGUAAAGGAGAAACGAGAGUGGCAGGAAUAGUUGGCCUCAUUCCUCUCCAACAGGUCAGAAAAACUUGUUGUUGUUGUUGUUGUUGUGUAGCAUUUUAGAUACAUCAAUUAUUUGGUCUUACUGUGAGACGAAAAACACAUUAGACAAUGUACAGAUUCUUGGCAGAGGUGGUGUAUCAGUCCAUUUUCAUACUGCUCUGAAGAAAUGCCCAAGACUGGGUAAUUUAUAAAGAAAAAGAGGCUUAAUGGACUCACAGUUCCACACGGCCCAGGAGGCCUCCUCAUAGCGGAAGGUGAAGGAGGAGCAAAGGCACAUCUUACAUGGGGGCAGGCAAGAGCACGUGUGCAGGGGAACUGCCCUUUAUAAAACCAUCAGAUUUCGUGAUACUUAUUCACUAUUGCAAGAACAGCAUGGGAAAAACCCACCCCCAUGAUUCAGUUACCUCCCACCGGGUCCCGCCCAUGACAUGUGGGAAUUAUGGGAGUUACGUUUCAAAAUGAGAUUUGCGUGAGGACACAGCCGAACCCUAUCAGGUGGCUUCUGGUGAACUCUUCUUACCCUGCUUCACCAAGUCACUUUGAAAUUUUUUUUUUCAGAGAAAUAAUUGCUCUUUGCUGCAGUUGUCAGCUGUCCUGCUGGAAUUUUGGAAACAGCAGGGCUGCAGAAGGAGGGCUUGAACUGUAAGUGUGAUGGAGGGCAUGCUUCCACUACACCCCUGGUUUGCAGCAUCUACAGUGCCUUAUCUUAGAAUGCAGAGUUAUUUUUCACAUGAUAGAGAAGGGGUUGGGGACCUUUGAAGACAAUAGGGGACAGCCUCCAAGUGCAAAGUCAGAAAUUCAGAGGCCUUGCUCCUGCCAGGCAAAACUUAUUUUCUACCUGUUUUCUCUCGAGUUCCCCUACUUAUCCCUCCCCCAGAGAGCUGAAACAGAGACCAUCUUGAUUGAUCUAGACUUGGUUUACACCUGAUAAGCCAAGAUUUUAUGAAUGUUUAACAGAGGUCAGAAAUUUGGAGAAAAUCUUAUAGUAGGCAUAUUACCUUUUAAAGCAUGAAUUAACUAAUGUUUUCCUCAAGAGUUUCAAAGGCAGUACAGAUCCUCAUUGUUUCCCAGCGAUUCUUUUGGGCAAGACAGUGAUAAGGUGGCUGGGACAAGCUUUCUUAAUCCUUCUUUUCAGGUAAGAAAACUGAAGCUCAGGAAAGUAUAAUUUUUUCUUAAUCACAUGGAGGGCCUGAAACACACCUGGAAAAAACAUUUUAGUCUAACAACAAAGAGUUCAUAAGUGUUAAGUCUUUUUCUUUUCUUUUUUUUUUUUUUUUUUUAAAAAAAGUCUUACUGUCACCCAGGCUGGAGUGUGGUGGGGUGAUCAUGGCUCACUGCAAUCUCAAACUUCCAGACUCAAGCAGUCCUCCCACCUCAGUCUCCCGAGUAGCUGGGACUACAGAUGCAUGCCACCAUGCCCAGCUAAAAUUUUUUUUAAGAGAUGGGAUCUCACUGUGUUGCCCAGGCUGGUCUCAAACUCUUGAGCUCAAGCGAUCCUUUUGAACCUACAAAGCUAUAGCGGAAUGUUUUUUUGCUCAACUGAUAAUGUAGUCAGUAUAACCAGUGUCUCUAGAUAAUGUGAGAAGUUGAAAGAGAAAGUGAAGCCUAUUUGCUGGAAGGCUGAGGCAAAGCCAACAUUUGGAGGUAAUUCUUAGAAGGUCCUGCACCUGCCUGUGCAUCAGGAAUGAUUUGGUAGUAGGGUAAUGUCCCUUAGACCAGUAGUCCCCAACCAUUUUGGCACCAGGGACCGGUUUCAUGGAAGACUAUUUUUCCACAGACAGGUUGGGGGGUGGUUUCAGGAUGAAACUUCUUCACCUCAAAUCAUCAGGCAUUAGUUAGAUUCUCAUAGGGAGCAUGCAACCUAUCCUCACAUGCGCAGUUCAAAAUAAGGUUCAAGUUCCGAUGAGAAUCUGAUGCCACCGCUGAUCUGACAGGAGGUGGAGCUCAGGCAGUAAUGCUUGCCUGCUCCUCACCUCCUGCUGUGUAGCCGGGUUCCUAACAGGCCACAGUACCAGUCCAUGGCACCAAGGUUGGGGACCCCUGCCUUAGACACCUUUUCUUGAGUUAGCAUAAGAUAAUUGCCUUAUGCCAGUUACUUCAUCUAUUUGAGCUUCAGAUUCCUCAUUUGUAAACUAGCCCAAUUGUUUCCUCACUAUAAACUCUAGCCUACCUCCCCCUGCAGUUUCAUAUUAUGCAAAUGCUAGGUCAUUUCAGAAUUCCGUCUUUUUGCACAUUUGUUCUCUUUCCCUGGAAUGCAUUUCUUCCCCUGGUAAACUCCUGUCUUCCCCUGACUUGGCCCCAUGAUACACACAGCACUUCAUACAGAUAAAAAAUAUUUUGUCUAGUGAUAGUUGUACAACUGUGAAUAUAUUAAAAACCAUUGAAGUGUAUUUUAAGUGAGUAAAUUUUACGGUAUGUGAGUUAUAUCUGAAUUUUUAAACAUGGAGGAUGGAGGGAAGCCUUCCCUACUACAUGGUGGGUUUCUGGAGGAAUAAGAUCUUCUCAUUUUCCUGUUAGAAUUUCCUUUGGCCCGUAUGAAACCUGGUCCAUAAUAAAGGCUCGGGUAAUAUUGUUGAAUAAACAAUGACCAUCUGAGGUUUGCUCUAAGGGAUUAAACGAAGAUGUAUGUGAUGGUAUUUAUCUUGCACAAUCCCCUUGUUGAAUUCAUUUAUUCAUGGCACUGUGUAGUGCUAAGCACUGAGGAUACAGAAUAAAUAAACAUCAUCCUGAUCUCAAGGAAUUUAUGGUCAGUGGAGGAGGCAGAUAUAUAAACAGACCAUAGCAUGGCAUUAGAGGUGCCACAGUAGACUUUGUGAGCAUACAAGAUAGAGCAUCCCAUUCAGCCCAGUGUUGGGGAAGGGAACAUCAGGAAAGAAUUGAUUUUGGUUUUGAAGGAUAAUUAGGGAUUUACUAGAAUACAAGACGUAAGAGAGGAAAUACAUCCUAGGCAGAAAGAAUAGCAUAUGCAAAGGCACAGACACACAAAGUAUCUGUUCCACAUUUGAAAUCCAAUCCAAAUGUUAACUCAGAAAUGUUUGAGAACAAGACAGAAGAAAUAAUGCAAAACAAAAAAGAUUCUCAGAAUCAAAGACAUGGAUCUCCAGAUCAAAGAGUUUGCAGAAGGCCCAGCAAAAUGAAUGAUAGAAGAUCUAAAAAUCACAUCAUCAUGAAAUUCUGAACUCAAAUUAUAAAAGCAUCUGGACAAAAUAGGUCGCAUACAAAGGAGUUGGAACAGGAAUGAGAAUGUAUUUUCCUAAAACAGGAAACUAGGGAGUCAAUAGAGCAAUGCCUUUAAAACUGAGUGGAAAUUAUCUUCAAUCUAGAAUUCUAAACCUAGUGAGACCAUCAGUUUAAAAAGAUAUGCAAGAAUUCAGACAUGCCCGUUUUGGGGAAGCUACUGGGAGAUAAGUGCCAGCAAAACCAUGGAAGAAGAUUACAUGGGAUUUGGGAAAUAAGGAAUCCAACAUGGUAGACUCUGAAUUUAAAAAUCCAGAAUGCCUGCAAUGCAGCCAUCCCACGAGCAACCAGCACAGAUUGGAACAAGAGGAUAGAUGGCUCAGAAUGAGGUCUUCAAGGAACAACAACAAAAUGGAACUCAUUUCUGUGAGUGCAUAAUGAUUAUUUCUGAUAGGAUAGCAGACAUGUUGGAGCAUUUGGAAAAAAUUAAUCACAAGUAUAUGGAAAGCCAGACAAGUGGGAAAACAAGGAAAUCAUUAACUGAAGGAAAAAUACGUGGUCAUACAAGAAAGGAGCAAUGGUCAUAGGCUCAACAGUGAAAAUGUUUGUACAGUCAUAGUGUAAACACUGAUGUAUUAUCCAAGCUGCAUAAAGAGAUCUUAUAAAUCAAUUAGAAAAAGACAACCAUUGGAAAAACGAGCAAAGUGUAUGAAUGGGCUAAUUCACAGAAGAUGAAACUCAAGCUCAACUCAUGAGUAAUUGGGGAAAUUAAAACUAUUCACUGGCUGGGCAUGGUGGCUCAUGCCUGUAAUUCCAGCACUUUGGGAGCCUGAAGCAGGAGGGACUGCUCGAGGCCAGGAGUUCAAGACCAACCUGGUCAAUGAAGUAAGACCCAGUCUCUACAAAAAAAAAAAAAAUUAAAAAUUAGCAGAGUGUGGUAGUACAUACCUGUAGUCCUAGCCAUUCAGGAGGCUGAGGCAAGAGGAUUCCUUGAGUCCAAAAGGUUCAGGCUACAGUGAGCUAUGAUCAUGCCACUGCACUCCAGUUUAGGUGACAGAGCGAUACCCUGUCAUUUAUACAUACAUAUGUACAUAAAAUCAAAUUGACAAAAAUCUUAAAAUUCUGAUGGUUCAAGGGUCUUAGUGAGGGUAUGGAGCAUCAGAAACAGUCAUCCACUGCUGGCAAGAGUAUACACAGGUACAAUUACUCUGAAGAGUAAUUUGUCAGUAUCUAGCAAAGCUGAAGAUACAGGCCCUGAGUACGGCCUGGCAGUCUUUCUCCAAGAUGGUUAUUUCUUAUCUCACUUUCAGCUUCUAAUUGAUCAUCUCCACCCAGGGUCUCAGCUGAUAACCCUGCUUUCUAUUUCACUGAGAGACUAGAAGCAAGCAGAAAAGCACUUCAAAUAUUUGCCCACAUACUUGCAUCUGUGCCCAUAGACUCCAUAUUUCUUAAAUUAUAAUGGAUGACUAUGCAUGAUUUAGAAGAGAGGUAAAAACUGAUGACUCCAGAGAAAAUAAACAUCCACACCCUUUGUGGAAGAAACAUAUAUGACCAUUCAUUGUAGCACUGUGAUGGUGAAAAAUUUAAAUGUCCAUCAACAAUAAAACUGGUACAUUGUGGCAUAGCUAUAAAUUGACUACUAUAUAUUGAGUCAAAGGGGACACAUGUUUAUUCAUUUUCUCUGGAAUCAUUACUGUUUCCUCACUUCUGGAUGAAAUAAAAUAGGCAACGUGUCAACAUUAACCACCUAAACAAAAACAAACAUAUGCUAAGUGAAAAGUUAUAGAAGGAUGUUGGUUAUACGAAGUUUUCUUUCUUUCUUCCCUGCCCCCCAGACCCACCGGAGACAGGGUCUUGCUUUGUCACCCAGGCUGCAGGACAAUGGCAUGAUCUCAGCUCACUGCCACCCCUGCCUUCCAGGCUGAAAGAUUCCUCCCACCUCAGCCUACUGAGUAACUGGGACUACAGGUGUUCACCACCACAAUGGCUAAUUUUUUGUACUUUUGCAAGAGAUGGGAGUUUCGCCAUGUUCCCUAUGAUUGGUCUCGAAUGCCUGAGCCCAAGCUGUCCAUCCUCGUUGGCCUCCCGAAGUGCUGGGAUUAUAGGUGUGAGCCACUACAGCUGAUCUCUACAAAGUUUGAAAACAUGCAAAGCAAUUCUGUUGUUGAUAUGGACACAUUUGUGUGGCAUAAUUGUACAAAAACAUGCAUGGGAACAGCAAACUCUAAAUUGGGGAUAAUGAUUACCUUUAAGGAGGGAGAAAAGGGAAUAGGGGGAGGUGGAAGGGCACAGAUAGAAUUUCUGUUUUUUUAAUUUAAUUUUUUUUUUUACACGGAGUUUCACUCUUGUUGCCCAGGCUGGAGUGCAAUGGCGCAAUCUUGGCUCACCACAACCUCUGCCUCCUGGAUUCAAGUGAUUCUCCUGCCUCAGCCUCCCGAGUAACUGGGAUUGCAGGCAUGCACUACCAUGCCCGGCUAAUUUUUAUAUUUUUAGUAGAGAGGGAGUUUCUCCAUGUUGGCCAGACUGGUCUCGAACUCCCGACCUCAGGUGAUCUGCCAGUCUCAGCCUCCCAAAGUGAUGGGAUUACAGGCGUGAGCCACCAAGCCCUGCCAAUUUUUGUUUUUUAAAAGUAGGUGGCAGGUACAUGGAUGUUUAGUUACAUUUUUAUUACUUCGAGACAGAGGUUAAUUCUUGUCAGAUGUGCAUUAUAAUCACCAAGAAAACCUUCAAAAAUACAGAUUCCCAAGACCUACCAUGAGAACUCCUGAAUCAGAAUUUUCAGGGUAGAAGCCCACGAAUCUAUUUUUCUUUUGUUUUGUUUUACAGUACGUUCUUAAUAUGCUUACCCAGAAUCUACAUUUAAAAAAAAAGUAUAUGUGUGUGUAUAUAUACACAAUAAUAUUACAAGAAGUCCCAUAUACUCUUUACCCAGAUUCCCCAAAUGUUAACAUUUGUUUUAUCUUUUAUGUUUCUCUGAAUCAUAUGCCUAAAUACCUCAGUUUGUAUCUGCUUAAAAAAAAAAUUAGGCCGGGCACGGUGGCUCACGUCUGUAAUCCCAGCACUUUGGGAGGCUGAGGCGGGUGGAUCACCUGAGGUCAGGAGUUCGAGACCAGCCUGGCCAACAUGGUGAAACCCCGUCUCUGCUAAUAAUACAAAAAUUAGCAGGGUGUGGUGGCGCGUGCCUGUAAUCCCAGCUACUCGGGAGGCUGAAGCAGGAGAAUCACUUGAACCCGGGAAGCAGAGGUUGCAGUGAGCCAAGAUCACGCCAUUGCACUCCUGCCUGGACACAAGAGGGAAACUAUGUCUCAAAAAAAAAAAAAAAAAGAAAGAAAGAAAAGUCUAUUCCCAGUACAAUGAUAAAAACCAGUAAAUAAACAUUGAUACUGUAAUCUGCAGACUCUUCAAAUUUCAAAUUUUAUGAAUUGUGUCAAUAUUAUUGCAAAAGAAAAUCCCAGGCCAGGCCGCUUCUGUUUUUUCUACUUUAUUUCCCACCACCACCGCCCCCCCCCCAACCCGCCGCCAUCCUAGUUGUUUUUCUUUUUGUUGUUAAGUAAAAUAUUAACAAGAUUGCAAAACACAGAAUGUAUAGUCAGAGGAAUUCCAUCCCCUCCCCAUUCCUUCUAUUCUGUCCAGUUCAUUUCCACCCAAUCCCUGAGGGUAAACAAUUGUAUUAACUUCUGGUUUCUCUUUCCUGUGUUUCUUUUUUUCUUUUUCUUUUUUUUUUUUUUUGAGACGGAGUCUCGGUCUGUCGGCCGGACUGGAGCACAGUGGCGCGAUCUCGGCUCACUACAAGCUCCGCAUCCCGGGUUCACACCAUUCUCCUGCCUCAGCCUCCCGAGUAGCUGGGACCACAGGCACCCGCUACCACACCCGGCUCAUUUUUUUUGUAUUUUUAGCAGAGACGGGGUUUCACCGACUUAGCCAGGAUGGUCUCGAUGUCCUGACCUCGUGAUCCGCCCACCUCGGCCUCCCAAAGUGCUGGGAUUACAGGCAUGAGCCACUGCACCCGGCCUUUCCUGUUUCUUUUUACACAAAUGAACAUAUACAUGCAUAUUUCCUCCUUUCCUACAAAAAUGGUAGCAUAUUGCCAAUACUCUUUUCCACUUUGUUUUCUUCCUUUAACAAGAGAUCUUGUAUCAGUUCAUAGAAAUCUUUCUCCUUUUUUAAACAGCUGCAUAAUACUCAUAUGCCAUAUAUAUGGGCAUGUCAGUGACUUCCAAUAUAUUGUAAUUUUACAAAAAUGAUGCUAUGAAUAACCUAGUAUGUAUGUAUUGUUGGAGGUUUAUCUUCAGGGUAAAUUCCUAGGAGUAAGGUUGCUAGGUCAAAAAAUAAUACAUGUGCACUGUGCGUGUGUAUGUGUGUUAAAUAUUUAUUGUGAAAUUCUCCAUAGAGAUUAUACCAGCUUGCAUUCCACCAGCACUGUAUGAGUGCCUGUUUCCCAACAGCCUGCCAACAAACUCUGUGAUUACGCUUUUUACUUUUUGCCAAUCUGAUAAGUGAGAAAUUGUAUCUCAGUGUAGUUUUAAUUUGUAAUUCUCUCAUUAUGAGUGAAAACGAACUUUUUUUUCAUGUGUUUAAAGAUCAUCUUUUUUGUUGUUGUUGGGGAUACAUUCUCUGUUCAUGUCUUUUGCCCAUUCUUCUAUUGAAGAGUUUUGAUCUAUUUUUCUUCUCAACUUUUAUGGUUAUUUAAAUAUUAUGGAUGUAAGGUUUUUAUCUGAGAUACGUGUUACAAAUAUUUUCUCCCAGGUUUUAAUUGUCUUUUUACAUUGUUCAUGGUGUUUCUUCCUAUGCAAAAGGUUUUACUUUUAUGUAGUCAAGUUUAUCAAUCUUUUAUUUCAUUUUAUUUAAUUUUGAGUUAUAGUUAGAAUGCUUUCCCCUACCCCAGAUUAAAGAGAAAUUUACUCAUUUUAAAAAUAGUAUGUGUAUGGUGAUAGAUAGAUACAUAAAUAGAUAGGUAGGUAGGUAGGUAGAUCGAUCGAUUCUUUUUUUUUUUUUUUGAUCGAUUCUUGAUCCACUUGGAAUUUGUUCUUGUCGAUGGUAUGAGGUAUGGAUCUCCUUUUACCUUUUUCUUCUAAGUACCUAAUUGUUCCAGUACCAUUUAUUUUAAAAAUCCUUUUGGCCCAGGUGUUUUGAGACACCAUCUUUAUUACAUACUAAAGUUCCAUAUGUACUUGGUCCUACUUCUGGACUUUCUUUUCUACUGGUCUAUCCAUAUUACCAUACUCUACUGUUGUAAAGGCUUUAUGGUAUGUUUUCAUGUCUGGUAGGCCAAGUCCCCCUUGUGACUUUUUUCUUUUCUUAGUAUUUUCCUGGCUAUUCUUGUAUGUUUGCCUUUCUGUAUGAAGUUUAGUAUCAGUUUCUUAAGCUCCAUAAAAAGGUUGUUGGUGCAGCCAUAAAAAAGAAUGAGAUCAUGUCCUUUGCAGGGACAUGAAUGGAGAUGGAGGCCAUUAUCCUUAGCAAACUAAAUCAGGAACAGAAAACCAAAUACCACAUGUUCUCACUUAUAAGUGGGAGCAAAAUGAUGGCAACACUUGUACACAAGAUGAGAACAACAGGCUGGGCGCCGUGGCUCACACCUGUAAUCCCAGCACUUUGGGAGUCUGAGGCAGGUGAAUCACUUGAAGCCAAGGAGUUUGAGACCAGCCUGGCCAACAUGAGGAAACCCUGUCUCUACUAAAAAUACAAAAAACCAGCCAGGCAUGGUGGCGCACACCUGUAAUCCCAGCUACGCAGGAGGCUGAGGCAUGAGAAUCCCUUGAACCCAGGAGGCAGAGGUUGCAGUGAGCUGAGAUCGCGCCACUGCACACCAGCCUGGGUGACAGACUCUGGUUUCCAAAAAAAAGAAGAAGAAGGGAAAAACACACACUGGGGCCUUUUGGAGGGUGGAAGGAGGGAGAGGAUCAGGAAAAAUAAAUAACUAGUGAGUACUAGCCUUAAUACCUCAUGAAAUAAUCUGUAUAAACAAACCCCAUGACACAAGUUUAUCUAUAUAAUAAACCUGCACUUGUACCCUUG
rnacentral:lncRNA from 1 species